rnacentral:misc_RNA from 1 species
GCAAACUUGGUCAUUUAGAGGAAGUAAAAGUCGUAACAAGGUUUCCGUAGGUGAACCUGCGGAAGGAUCAUUACUGAAUUGUCAACAUGAGUUGUUGCUGGUCCUUGAACUGAGGGCAUGUGCACACUCUGUUUACACAUCCACUCACACCUGUGCACUCUCUCUGUAGUCCUGUAGCUUGGGGGCUUCUGUUCCCUUGCUGUAGUUCUGCACCUUUACACACACACUGUAAUAAAGUCUCAUGGAAUGUAUGUCGUGUUUAACGCAAUAUAAUACAACUUUCAGCAACGGAUCUCUUGGCUCUCGCAUCGAUGAAGAACGCAGC